rnacentral:rRNA from 1 species
UGCAAUGGUAUAAGCAAGCUUAACUGCGAGACAGACAAGUCGAGCAGGUACGAAAGUAGGUCAUAGUGAUCCGGUGGUUCUGAAUGGAAGGGCCAUCGCUCAACGGAUAAAAGGUACUCCGGGGAUAACAGGCUGAUACCGCCCAAGAGUUCAUAUCGACGGCGGUGUUUGGCACCUCGAUGUCGGCUCAUCACAUCCUGGGGCUGAAGUAGGUCCCAAGGGUAUGGCUGUUCGCCAUUUAAAGUGGUACGCGAGCUGGGUUUAGAACGUCGUGAGACAGUUCGGUCCCUAUCUGCCGUGGGCGUAGGAGAAUUGGUUGGGGCUGCUCCUAGUACGAGAGGACCGGAGUGGACGCACCACUGGUGUUCCGGUUGUGUCGCCAGACGCAUUGCCGGGUAGCUAAGUGCGGAAGAGAUAAGUGCUGAAAGCAUCUAAGCACGAAACUUGCCAAGAGAUGAGUUCUCCCAAUCUAAGAGAUUGUAAGGGUUGUUGUAGACUACGACGUAGAUAGGUCUGGUGUGUAAGUGUAGUGAUGCAUUGAGCUAACAGAUACUAAUUGCCCGAGAGGCUUAACUAUACAACGCUCAAG